rnacentral:rRNA from 1 species
GACGGGGGGGGCAAGUGUUCUUCGGAAUGACUGGGCGCAAAGGGCACGUAGGCGGUGAAUCGGGUUGAAAGUGAAAGUCGCCAAAAAGUGGCGGAAUGCUCUCGAAACCAAUUCACUUGAGUGAGACAGAGGAGAGUGGAAUUUCGUGUGUAGGGGUGAAAUCCGUAGAUCUACGAAGGAACGCCAAAAGCGAAGGCAGCUCUCUGGGUCCCUACCGACGCUGGGGUGCGAAAGCAUGGGGAGCGAACAGG